GUGCUCACUUUGGCAGCACAUAUAUUAAAAUUGGAAUGAUAUGGAGAAUAUUAGCAUGGCUCCUGCGCAAGGAUGACAUGCAAACGUGUGAAGCAUUCCCCAUAUAU
rnacentral:snRNA from 1 species